CUGAAACUACUGUUUUCCUGAAACCCUGAGAGCUCGAUGGACAGCUGGACCCCUCAGUGCCAAGUCCAGAGAAGCCACCCGGACCGAGCCCGCGGGGACAAGCCUCCGCCGACCGCGUGGACGGCUCAGAGAACCCAGCAGGACGUCUGGUGACACCGCCAGGGACGCUCUGGCCGCAAACCAGCAACACCCACCUGAUUGAAACCCCGUCGUCGGGGCGCCUGGGGCGCUGGGUCCUGGAGCUCCGCCCUCGGCUCAGAAAUGCCUCCCCAACUGCCUCAGUGCUGGUGCCUGGGAAGUCGUGACGCGGCCGCGUUCUUGGACAGAAAAGCUCGAUAUUACGGAGACUCAUUCUCCCACAAUUAACCUAUAAACUCGAUGUCACCAAAUCCAUGGAGGGAAUCCACAAGCGACACAGAGAAUCGGGGACCGAGACUCCAGAAGCAGCAGGAGACGUCACACAGUCU